rnacentral:sRNA from 1 species
GGCUGCAUGCUUCCUCUGAUGCAUUCUCGGGCCUCAGGUUUCAAUCAGGCAGCAGCGGGGGCUAUCAGAGGCAAAUGGUUCCUCGAGAAGAGAUUAAAAACACAUCACCAAAGAGCAGCGUGGUCAGCCUAGCUGACCAGGCACCUAAUUUCUCCAGGCUCCUGUCUAAUGUAACUGUCAUGGAAGGUUCUCCAGUGACUUUGGAAGUUGAAGUAACAGGAUUUCCAGAGCCUACACUGACAUGUUCUGCUGAGACACAACUUCCCCUGGAAAGCCGCCUGACCCAUCAAGUCUAGAGAAGAUGGUCCUGCCAUGUGCACUGUAAGCACCUGCACUGCCCAGCCACACCCCUGAAUAUACACACGGGAAUCACAGGUUUGAGCCUCUGUCUCCUCUGGCUAAGCUGUAAGAACCUUAUCAGCAGGAUCCAUGACAGCUCUGUUGUCAUUGUAUUGCCAGUACCUAAGACACAGUCACACUCAGUAAACUCUUUUGAAUUGAAUUGUUGCCAAAGGUAAACAAAGAUAAACCUAGCUUUUUUAGAGAAAGGAGAGGGGAAAUGUAAACAGAAAAAGAUGAUUCUCCCUUCUUAUAGACAGGAGUCAAUCCAAAUCAGGCCCUAACAAUGAAGCACGCAUGAAAAUCUCUCACCUCAUCUGCAAAACUUGUGUGAGCACCCUCCAGACCCUCUGGGCUAGACCCUGAUUGAAAAUUUGAAUUUAAAAAUAGAUACUGGCUCCACGGACUAAAAUAACAGU